CCUGCCAAGCCUCCUAAUAAUGCUUAAAUCGGCGGGU
rnacentral:sRNA from 12 species